AUCAAAUACGGAGGUGCUUGUGUCUCCAUAGAGCUGAGAAAGCUUGCUAGGGCUAGUGUCGUUGCACCCGAAUCCCUGGGCACGUUGUGGCCAUCAGAAGCCAUGCAGAGACUCCAGAUGGCGGGAGAUACAUUUCCCAAAGCUGCUUUAGUGCAGGAGUCUCUGAGGGCACUGACGGGCCUGUGUGUUGACUCUUAACUUGGAAGGAAAACGUGUAAAUGAGCACUGGGUUGCCUCAGAACCCCAGGAAAGGACUAGAAAGUGUGAGAAGUCUCUGUCCUUCGCAUAGAAAGGUGCUUCCACUGCAUCUCCUUGAAGAUGGAUGUCAUCCUGUAUCCUCACACCGCUGCCGAGAGAAGUGAGCCUCUUUCCAGAAGUUUGGAACAGUGGGAAGAUUCCUUCAGAGGCCUGAUCCCAGAAGACCCGUGUCAAGAAGGCUGAGCCCCAGUCAUACUCAGGGACACCAAGGCGGUAGAGGAGGGAAGAGGAAGGGCCGCCCUAAAGGGUGGGGAGGCCACCUUCACCUCAAGGAUGUUCCUCUCUUCCUCCAGCCCAUGCCAGCUUGAAUUGGUGCUCCAAGGAAUUAUUUUGAGGAAGGAGAAAGAUAGCAUCUGGGGCAUCAAGACAUUUUGGUCAGCAUCUGGGGAAAUUAAUUCAGCCAGAUCUAGAGAGGAAGGGAAGCCAGGAUGGAAGUGAGCUGCUGAAAGUCUUAGGUGCCUGACGGAAGCUUGCCCUCCCCCAUGUCCCUACCAGUGAUUCUUUUCCCAUAUCGGUUCCUUCCAUGUAUUCAAUAGACUUGUGUGUGCUAUUCACUAGGUCCUUUUGGAUUAUCUAUUGACAAGUACUAUGUAUAUGUUGGGAGGGAUUGGGGGCAGGAGGAGAAGGGGACAACAGAAGAUGAGAUGGCUGGAUGGCAUCAUCGACUCGAUGGACAUGAGUUUGAGUAAACUCCGGGAGUUGGUGAUGGACAGGGAGGCCUGGCGUGCUGCGAUUCGUGGGGUUGCAAAGAGUCGGACACGACUGAGCGACUGAACUGAAUUGAACUGAUGUAUGUGUUAAUCCCAACAUCUUAAUGUCUCCCUUCCCCUACCUUUUUAAAAAAUAAAAAAUAAUCAUAAGUGGG